rnacentral:rRNA from 1 species
AAUAUAAAGAGUUUGAUGUUGGCUCAGUGCAAUUGCUAUUCAGAUGUAUAAUACAUGCGAAUCAAACAGCGAACGUACGAAAUGUGCGUGUAGCUAAAGUGGUGAACUCGUGAGUAUGUAAUGGUAAUCAGAACCAUAAUUCAGGUUAAAUACCUUAAAAGGGAUCAAACCCGAUAAUGGUCGAGCUAUUACGAAUAUUAGGUAGUAGGUGGGAAUAAUAGCCCUGCCUAGCUGAAGAUAUUUAGUUGGUUAUUAGUGUAAGCCCAAUCACGUUGACAAUGAAAGAGCGGUCAAAAGAGGGAAUCCCCUUUUCAGCAGUAGGGAAUCUUCGUCAAUGAGCGAAAGCUUGAACGAGCAAUCUGAAAAAGUGAAAAAGUACAACACCCUAAAUAAGAAUUUAUUAAUAGGUUGUGCUAAAUGACUUAAAUAAAAAGCUUUAACAAAAUGAUGAAUAAUGAUCGUCGUUUUGAAAUAGUCCUUACCAAAAGGCGUGCCAGCAGUAGCGGUUAGACGUCGAGGGCGAGUAAUGCACAUUAAAGGCUUAAAGAGUUUGUAGAAUGGUGGUACGCCGUACCACUAGAGUAAUCCCCCCAGAUGCAUGAAUUAUAAGAGUAAUGGUUAAAUAUAGUAAUACUUAUAGGACAACCACUGUAAAUGCAUCCCUGGUUUACUGACAUUGAGGAACGAAGGCUAGAGUAGCGAAACGGAUUCGUUACCCGUUUAGUUUUAGCUGUAAACGAUGAAUGUUAUUUUCGAGAAGUGAAAACGUAAACAUUCCGCCUGAGGAGUACGAUCGCAAGGUUGAAACUCAAAACAAUAGACGGUGUAAGUUUAUACACAGUGGAUCAUGUAGUUUAAUUCGAUAAUCCGCGAGAACCUUACCAUUCUUUGUAUUCCAUCCUCGGGAUGGUAACAAGUGUUACAUCGCUGUCUUUAGUUCAUGCCGUGAGGUAUUAGGUUCAGUCCUCUAAUGAACAAAAUCCGAGCUAAUAAUAGAUUAUUAGGCUAUAAUACAUAUACGGUAUUAUCCAAGUCGGGUUAAGACAAGUCAUCAUGACCUUAAUAGAAUGGGCUAUAUACGUGAUACAAGUAUACAUACAAAAUCGAGUCAAAUAGCAAUAUUGGACAAACGAUACAAAGUGUAUAAUACAUUAAUAUUUUAAUAAUAUAGAUAUAUAAAUGUGAAUCGCAUGCUGUAACUCGCAUGCGUGAAAAAGGAAUUGUGAGUAAUACGUAAUCUAGUACAUUACGGUGAAACCUUCUCUUACGCGUACUAAUCACUCAUCAUUCGCUUGAAGAAUUUACAUAUUGAAGUAUAUGGGACCCCUUCUCGUCAACCAUCUUUUCAUUUAGAUCGUUGCUGGAGGGUGUCCAAAUGUACCAUGUACUAAAUUCGACAAGUGAGAAGUUGAAAUAUAGUUAUGGUAGAGGAAUCUGCUGUGGGCUAUAAUAAUAU